rnacentral:lncRNA from 1 species
CCCAAACGAGAAUUGCCUUGUUCUUUGCCGGGUGUGAGCAGGAGGAAUGCACGAGGAAGGAAUGCAGUUGUAUCCCUCAGUGCUGCAAUAAACAAAUUCCGUGACUUGUUGCAUCCCUGUGUAUUUUGUAAAGUGUCUUUAACUAAGAAUCCUUACAAAAUCACCCAUAUCCCAGCAAUUCAUCGAGGCAGGGAUGGAAUGGGGGAUUAGUGGAGAGAACCUUUAGGAGAGAGAUUGCAUUUGGUGGCAAGAGUCUGAGAUUCCUUACAGAAAGAUUUUGGGAUUUUCCUUCCGUCCUGGCUGCCGUAAUUCCACGAGUGUUUUAACUGGAUUUUGCUCCUCCCGGUCUCCAGCGUGGUGCCUCGGGCUAGGAUUCCUAGAGAAGAUGCUCUGGGAGCUGGAGGAGCCCCUGUGGGUACCUGCAGAGAGGGGGAUCCCUGAGGAAUCCCAGAGGAUUUGUGGGGAACAGGAACUGAGAAUUCUCCUUUCUGUUUUGCAGUUGUCUCUGGGAAGCCGCUGCCUCUCAGCCAGUCCAGCACCAAGGAGUUCUCAGGGCUGCUCUCUACCCCCAAGCCUGAAGGCCCCGACCACCAUCACUGUGACACUGCGGGGACAGCCUGGCCGCAUGGGCAGCCUGAGCCAGGCAGGGCUGGGGACAGCACAGCCCCAGCUGGAGGAGCAGCCUCAGGGCCCUCAGUGACCACCCUGGAGCCCCUGUGGUGUGGGAUUGGUGAGGCUGUGCCUGCCCCUGGAGCCUCCUGUGCCAGCCUGGGCACCCCAAGGUGGCGCCUG